rnacentral:rRNA from 1 species
GGUGAACGCUGGCGGCGUGCCUAAUACAUGCAAGUCGAGCGAACGGACGAGAAGCUUGCUUCUCUGAUGUUAGCGGCGGACGGGUGAGUAACACGUGGAUAACCUACCUAUAAGACUGGGAUAACUUCGGGAAACCGGAGCUAAUACCGGAUAAUAUUUUGAACCGCAUGGUUCAAAAGUGAAAGACGGUCUUUCUGUCACUUAUAGAUGGAUCCGCGCUGCAUUAGCUAGUUGGUAAGGUAACGGCUUACCAAGGCAACGAUGCAUAGCCGACCUGAGAGGGUGAUCGGCCACACUGGAACUGAGACACGGUCCAGACUCCUACGGGAGGCAGCAGUAGGGAAUAUUCCGCAAUGGGCGAAAGCCUGACGGAGCAACGCCGCGUGAGUGAUGAAGGUCUUCGGAUCGUAAAACUCUGUUAUUAGGGAAGAACAUAUGUGUAAGUAACUGUGCACAUCUUGACGGUACCUAAUCAGAAAGCCACGGCUAACUACGUG